rnacentral:rRNA from 1 species
UUAGAGUUUGAUCCUGACUCAGGAUGAACGCUAGCGGCAGGCUUAACACAUGCAAGUCGAGGGGUAACAGGAAUAUUCGGUGAUGAUGGCGACCGGCGCACGGGUGAGUAUCGCGUUUGCAACCUACCCUUAACUGGGGGAUAGCCCGAAGAAAUUCGGAUUAAUACCCCAUUAAAUUUAAGAACGGCAUCGUUUUUUUAUUAAAGCUCUGGCGGUUAAGGAUGGGCAUGCGUGACAUUAGUUUGUUGGUGAGGUAACGGCUCACCAAGACUACGAUGUCUAGGGGUUCUGAGAGGAUGAUCCCCCACACUGGUACUGAGACACGGACCAGACUCCUACGGGAGGCAGCAGUGAGGAAUAUUGGACAAUGGAGGCAACUCUGAUCCAGCCAUCCCGCGUGCAGGAAGACAGCCCUAUGGGUCGUAAACUGCUUUUAUACAGGAAUAAACCCCCUUACGUGUAAGGGGCUGAAGGUACUGUAAGAAUAAGCACCGGCUAACUCCGUGCCAGCAGCCGCGGUAAUACGGAGGGUGCAAGCGUUAUCCGGAUUUAUUGGGUUUAAAGGGUCCGUAGGCGGACUAGUAAGUCAGUGGUGAAAUCCUGCAGCUUAACUGUAGAACUGCCAUUGAAACUGUCAUUCUUGAGUAUAGUUGAGGUGGGCGGAAUGUGUCAUGUAGCGGUGAAAUGCAUAGAGAUGACACAGAACACCGAUUGCGAAGGCAGCUUACUAAAUUGUUACUGACGCUGAGACACGAAAGCGUGGGGAGCGAACAGGAUUAGAUACCCUGGUAGUCCACGCCGUAAACGAUGAUUACUCGUUGUGUGCGAUACAUCGUACGCGACUGAGCGAAAGCAUUAAGUAAUCCACCUGGGGAGUACGUUGGCAACAAUGAAACUCAAAGGAAUUGACGGGGGCCCGCACAAGCGGAGGAACAUGUGGUUUAAUUCGAUGAUACGCGAGGAACCUUACCUGGGCUUAAAUGUAGAACGACGUACCGGGAAACUGGUAUUCCCUUCGGGGCGCACUACAAGGUGCUGCAUGGUUGUCGUCAGCUCGUGCCGUGAGGUGUCGGGUUAAGUCCCAUAACGAGCGCAACCCCUAUCGUUAGUUGCUAGCAGGUCAAGCUGAGGACUCUAACGAGACUGCCACCGUAAGGUGAGAGGAAGGUGGGGAUGACGUCAAAUCAGCACGGCCCUUACGUCCAGGGCUACACACGUGUUACAAUGGCCGAUACAGAGGGCAGCUACCUGGUGACAGGAUGCAAAUCUCGAAAGUCGGUCUCAGUUCGGAUCGGAGUCUGCAACUCGACUCCGUGAAGGUGGAUUCGCUAGUAAUCGCGUAUCAGCAAUGACGCGGUGAAUACGUUCCCGGGCCUUGUACACACCGCCCGUCAAGCCAUGGAAGCUGGGGGUACCUGAAGUCUGUAACCGAAAGGAGCGGCCUAGGGUAAAACCGAUAACAAGGGCUAAGUCGUAACAAGGUAACCAAGGGCGAA